rnacentral:misc_RNA from 1 species
GAAAUGCGAUAAGUAAUGUGAAUUGCAGAAUUCAGUGAAUCAUCGAAUCUUUGAACGCACAUUGCGCCCGCCAGUAUUCUGGCGGGCAUGCCUGUUCGAGCGUCAUUUCAACCAUCAAGCCCCCGGCCUGUGUUGGGGACCUGUGGCUGCCCGCAGGCCCUGAAAAACAGUGGCGGGCUCGCUGUCACACCGAGCGUAAUAGCAUACAUUCUCGCUCAGGGCGUGCUGCGGGUUCCGGCCGUUAAACGACCUUCAUAACCCAAGGUUGACCUCGGAUCAGGUAGGAAGACCCGCUGAACUUAAGC